ensembl:lncRNA
CAGAACUCAAAUUCCCAAGAUGCAAUGCUCACUUCUCAGGCACGCAUGCGCUCACCAUCCCCGGAGUUCUGAUCAGACACACCUGGCACCAAUCACACACACACACACACUAGUACUUAGGAAGGACAUCCACCCGGGAUCUGCGCGAAGUAUAUGCUCAGUAACUUAGUUUGCUGCGUUACCAAGCUCUUCUAGUUCAUUGUUUCUUAUGAUCUUCGACCCUCGCUUCUCGUCUCGACUACGCUAUCUGGAUAUCCCCAUUUGUAUUGUUCGCCCGAUCGCUUGACCCUUGCUGACUCUACGACUACGCUUCCGGAACUUCUCGACACUACUCGGUUCACUCGCCUCCCGCGCCUGCUUCCGUACCAUCUCAAGUGUGGCCGAGUCACUCCGGGUCUGAGUCACCAUGAGCUGGAGCUUCUUAACCCGCCUCUUAGAGGAAAUUCACAACCACACGACAUUUCUGGGGAAAAUGUGGAUCACGGUCCACAUGGUGUUUCGGAUCGUUCUCACUGCCCAUCCGCUUCUGGGUAUUCCAGAUCAUUCUAGUGGCUACGCACUCUCUGGUGUACCUCGGCUACGCCGUCAACGAGAAAGCACGGUUGAAGGAAAGCCAGAGCGACAGCACACCUUAGGGUGCGACAGGAAGUGGUACGAAAGCGCGACACGACGGCCGGCAGUGAAUCCAGAAAGACGGACUGAUGAGGGUUUAUGUCGUCCAGCUGGUCGUUCGGUCCGCGUUAGAAAUAUGCUUCCUGAUUGGUCAGUACAUGCUUUUCGCCGUCACGGCUCGUUACGUGUGCUGAAGCAAACCGUGCCCUCAUGUCGUGGAUUGUUGUGUGUCACGUCUGAACGAGAAGACUAUCUUUUUGCUCAUCAUGUACGCAGUGACCAUAUUCUGCUUGCUGCUCAACGUGUGGGAGAUGCAACAGAGAGACAGCAGCUCCCCAUAGACAUUCAUGGAGUUUAUCUACGCUCUCCACUGUGCCCCAUCUGUAAAUGACAGCACUUCGUUCAAAAGGAAUGAUGAAGGACUCCCAGUCAUCUUUACCAUCAUAUGUGUUAAGUUUAACUUUAGGUCCAUCUGGAGCUCUACCACGAGGGGCUGUGAGGUGGUUGGUGGAUGCUGAAGUAGUUGAAGGUGCGUGCACGUUUGAACCCAAGUUGAAAGAGCCAUUAUAACGGCUGGGCCCCUGCACACGGCUUCUGGGUCUCACAUCCGGGCCAGGUGUGGAGGAAGUUGGACUAGCAGGGCUCUGUACGCGUCUAUCAAUGACCGCGAGUUCAGCUGCAAAAAGCUGUUCAGCAUCUGAAGGCCCUGUAGCAUCACCGUCUGUCAUGUGGGUUUUGUCAGGGACAGCUGAAAGUGUGAUAGUGUCUUCAUGUGGAUGGGAACCACGUGUUACCGUGCUGGCAAGGGGCUGCCGUGUGAGAGCAAGCAAACUAGCCUCUGUUGCUUCCAAUCUUUGGAGUAGAGGUGAAAUGUCAUAUUGGAGCUGUUUAUUUUGCUGUGACAGCACAGCCUGUAGCCAGUGUGGAGGUCUGGAGUGGCUCAUACUCCAAGUUCACCUUCUUGCUCACUCAUGUCUAAGCUGUAUUACAUCGAGCUUGAAACUUCUCUGGAAUUUCCUUUUUAUUUUAGUUUAUAUAUUUAAUUAGGAUUUACAGAUAGUGCAAAAAAAAACGUGGCAUGUCGGUGUUUAAUACUGCUUCACAUCGCGUUUCGCAGUGAUUAUAAGGUCAAUCGAAUAAUAAAGUCACUACACGGAGGAUAUCCCAGUGACUCACAAUCUGACGAUGAAGUUCUUUCUCGCUCAGCUUCUGACACUUCUUGUGCUUUCGUCUUGGCUUAUAAGUGUCCGUGGAGACGUGAAGAGAAACACACAACAAAGAGAAUCUGUUGCAGGAACUUUACUUACUUAUUAAGCACAAUCUUACAACAACAGAGUUAUGCUCUUCCCCAGUGUUGAUGGGUUUAACAACCAUCCACACCGGAGCCUACGAGCAUACUGCCUUAGAAAACAUAACACAGUCAACUAGUUCCAGUAUGAUGACGUAGCCACAUCUAAUUGACUAAUACUGGACUCAUUAUUAAGACAUAUAAAAUAACCAUAACUCAACAGCUGUAAUUAACACUAUAACAUCACUUUAUAUUUACUGCAUGUAAGGUUUUUUUUCUUUUAAUUCCCUCUGACAUGAUGUUUCAGUUGACAGCAGGAUCAUGAAUAUGGUGGUAAUUUGGUGGUGCAGGGAGCCGGUGGCUGAUUGGCCGAGGCGACACAGCAUCGUCAAGGCGACCACCACACUUUUUUAGCUAAAAGUAUAAGUUAACGGUAGUUCUCAUGAUUUGUGGGCAGGGCUAGGUCUGAACACGGUGGUCACUAAUCAAACGACGUGGUUUCGGACCAAUCUCAUCUAAGAGAUUAGAGAACAGGUGCACACAUCAGGUAAACGGACCAAUCACUGGACAAGUAACUCGGGUGAAGUUUCCUUAACAGCAACCUCCGUGCAUGUUUCAGAUAAAACAUUCAAUCCACAUCUACAUCACGUAUAGCGCGAUGCUCAAAUAUAUCUGAAAUAUCCGGAACGUUCCGUACGUCAUGACAGGAGGUCGCGUCAUCUGAAUUUUCUGAAGAUCAUGUGAAGAAGAAAAGUAAAGUUGUUUACUCAUGUUUUUGUUUUUUAGUACAAAAUACAAAAUAAUUUUUUUAUUGAAUUAUUAGAAUGUCCUCUCAUUAUCAUGGAAGCUAGUCAACGUGUGUAUUUGCUCAAUACUGUGCUUAAAAACUCAACCCUGUUACUAAUUUAAGAGCAAAAAAGGCAGUAAUGAAAAUGUGUAAGAAAUGAGAUUGGUUAAAAUAUUUACUUAACAAUUAAUUAAAUAUUUUAUCCGAUUUAUUAUAUACAGUACAGUUAGCUUGUAC